rnacentral:misc_RNA from 1 species
CCUCUUCUUCCCCCACCCGCAAGCAAUGCCACGCACAGCCGCGAGGCAAUACAGUUACCUCUGCUGGUCUGCCUUUUCUGCGCCCAUGUCACAGUGACGCGGGUGCCUCAUUCUUUCUAUCAGCUGUUUUCUCACGUUAUCGCUCAACCCUCAUGACACGGGGGACACCUCAGCGUGUGGUAUCGCGUGGACCGGUAGCCCCACACUGUGUGUGUGUGCGGGAAGUCAUGCAGCCCCCCAUCCUCUCGCUAUCCCCUGCCGAUGCCGAGCCACCUUCCGGUGGUGACAGUUUGAAGCCCCGGACGGCGGCGCGUCGGAGCGACCUGCGCCAGCGCACACGUCUGUACUGUCCAGAUGAUGGGCAGCGUGCCAGCGUGGCUGGCGCGUAUCCCGCCCCCCGCCCUCGCACUGCCCACUGGUGCGGGGCCGGCGUGCCACCGCGUACGGGCUGCACCACGUGGGUGGCGACUGGUGGCACGAUGGGAGCGGCUGCGCGGCGGCCUGCGAGGCGGCGGGUGCUGUGUAGAGUUUGAGGCAGAGGCGGCGCUGGGCGGACUGAGUCGGCGCAUUGCUGUACCGCGUGUGCGCCUACGGCUGCAGUGCAGGAGGCGAUGGGGGCCUGUGGCAGGCCGGCGGGCGGGCGGCGGCUCGGGCGUGGCGUUGGCCGCACGCUUGUCUGGGCAGCGAGUGGGUGCGCUGAGGACGCCGGAGAAAGCAACUCCUGCCUCUCUCGGUCUUCCUUGUGAAGUCGACUUCCGCGUUGGUAUGCGGUCCGGUGAGGGAGAAACAUGCGCACAGAUUUGAAGAGUCACUAAAGCUGUAAUGAGCUGAAAGCGCAGUAAC